rnacentral:lncRNA from 1 species
AGACAACGACUAAAAUCAAAGGGUAAGGGGUUGAGCGGGUUGAACACAGGAGGCUGUGCACACUUAAUUCUGGUAUGUAUCUUUGGUAACUAACUGUUUUUUUGGUAACUAACUGUUUUUGGUAUGAAAAUCAUUAGGUAACUAACUGUUUUUGUUUUUGUUUUUUAUGUGUGCUAGUAUUGGCUCUGUGAGAAGACAAACGCCAUAAAGUCGAUUGAAGGCACAGAGGAUGAGGAACAUAAGAUGAGGAAAUGGGACCUCACAAAGCUACCCAAGAAUGCUGAAUUCAAAACAUUGAAGGUAUGGGAUAGUUACAUGGAAAAUUGAUAGUUACAUGGAUAGUUACAUGCAUAGUUACAUAAAAAAUUGAUAGUUACAUGCAUAGUUACAUGCAUGGUUACAUGCAUGGUUACAUGGAAAAUUGAUAGUUACAUGGAUAGUUACAUGCAUAUUUACAUGGAAAAUUGAUAGUUACAUGAUUAGUUACAUGCAUAGUUACAUGGAAAAUUGAUAGUUACAUGGAUAGUUACAUGCAUAGUUGCAUGUAGAAUUGUGAUAGUUUUCAAAACAAUACACCUCAUAUGUUUGACUUGAUCUAGUUUUUUAAGUAUCUUGGAACUAUGUAACUGCCAUUGUAACUGGCAGUGUAACUAUCCUUGUAUCUGCUGUGGGUUUUGUAACUAUAUAACUAACAAUUUAUUUAUUCUUUUAUUACAGCAACUGUUCGCUGGAAUCAAGUCUGAUCCAGAAGAAACAGAUUGUGAAUCUGAAGCAGAAGAAGAAGAAACAGUGCAGAAGAAACUGAUGGAUAAAGAAGAAACAUGGCAGGCAGCAGAGGAAGGAGAAAGGCCACCGUCCUCUCUAAUAUCCGGUCAAAGCCAAAAAGCAAAGGAGGUUGAAAUGAGACGGCUAACAGAGGAGAACGAAAGGCUGCGCUGUCAAACUGAAAGCUUGAAAGAGGAAAUGAGAAGCAUGGCAGAGGACUAUGAAUCAAGGCAGACAGAACUACAGGAGAAGAUGGAAAAUGCAGUACAGGAUUUGAUGAUUGAGAGGUUAAUU